CAGAGGGGGCAAGCGUUAUUCGGAAUUAUUGGGCGUAAAGGGCGCGUAGGCGGCCUUGCAAGUGACGGGUGAAAUCCCUCGGCUUAACCGAGGAACUGCCUGUCAGACUGCAUGGCUUGAGACCGGGAGAGGUGAGUGGAAUUCCCAGUGUAGCGGUGAAAUGCGUAGAUAUUGGGAGGAACACCAGUGGCGAAGGCGGCUCACUGGACCGGUACUGACGCUGAGGCGCGAAAGCGUGGGGAGCAAACAGGAUUAGAUACCCUGGUAGUCCACGCCGUAAACGAUGAGUGCUUGGUGUGGCGGGUAUCGACCCCUGCUGUGCCGAAGUCAACACAUUAAGCACUCCGCCUGGGGAGUACGGUCGCAAGACUG
rnacentral:rRNA from 1 species